AACGAACGCUGGCGGCAUGCCUAACACAUGCAAGUCGAACGAGAUCUUCGGGUCUAGUGGCGCACGGGUGCGUAACGCGUGGGAAUCGGCCCUUGGUGUGGGAAUAACGGUUGGAACCGACUGUUAAUACCGGAGGAGGACAAAGGUCAAAAGAUUUAUCGCCAGAGGAUGAGCACGGGUAGGAUUAGCUAGUUGGUGUGGUAAAGGCGCACCAAGGCGACGAUCCUUAGCUGGUCUGAGAGGAUGAUCCGCCACACUGGGACUGAGACACGACCCAGACUCCUACGGGAGGCAGCAGUGGGGAAUAUUGGACAAUGGGCGAGAGCCUGAUCCAGCAAUGCCGCGUGAGUGAUGAAGGCCUUAGGGUUGUAAAGCUCUCUUACCCGGGAUGAUAAUGACAGUACCGGGAGAAUAAGCUCCGGCUAACUCCGUGCCAGCCGCCGCCGUAA
rnacentral:rRNA from 1 species